CCUACGGGCGGCUGCAGUGAGGAAUAUUGGUCAAUGGACGAGAGUCUGAACCAGCCAAGUAGCGUGAAGGAAGACUGCCCUAUGGGUUGUAAACUUCUUUUAUAUGGGAAUAAAAUGUACCACGUGAGGGAUUUUGUAUGUACCAUAUGAAUAAGGAUCGGCUAACUCCGUGCCAGCAGCCGCGGUAAUACGGAGGAUCCGAGCGUUAUCCGGAUUUAUUGGGGUUAAAGGGUGCGGAGGUGGAUUGUUAAGUCAGUUGUGAAAGUCUGGGGCUCAACCGUAAAAUUGCAGUUGAAACUGGGUGUCUUGAGUACAGGAGGGGUAGGCGGAAUGCGUGGUGUAGCGGUGAAAUGCAUAGAUAUCACGAAGAACUCCGAUCGCGAAGGCAGCUCACUGGACUGCAACUGACACUGAGGCUCGAAAGUGUGGGUAUCAAACAGGAUUAGAUACCCCAGUAGUC
rnacentral:rRNA from 1 species